UUCUCUCUCACCGCCAUCAUACGGUUUUCUAGAUGCUCAUAAUCGGUCCAUUUCUCCAGCCCUUAUCAACAUCCUUAGCUCGCUGUCAAUUGAGCUUUCUCGUUGUUGUUGUUACUCCAUCUAUGGUCAUCCCUGUCAUCCUCGUUUUCCAGCCACAAGUGGAGUUGAGUUGCUGAUUCUCUUCCCUGUCAUCGUUGUUGUUUGUAUCAUCGUUAGUAAGGAAGGAGGUUGAAGUUUUCUACGGUUUUCUCGAUCUUGUGGCUGUCGGUGACAGCUGGGUGGCGACACUUGGACUAUUCUUCGUGUGGUUCUUGAGUCUGUGCACGGUAGCUAAUGUUGCACUAUGGUAGAGAACGCUGGAUGCUAACGGCAGUUCCAUUAGCCCUUGGCACGCCAUGGUACACCUAGCUAGCAGGGUGCUUGUAGAAGAUGCUAGCCCCAUGCGAAGGCCAACACACAUGGACUGGAGGGAUGGUAAUUCGUGAGCACUGUACUCACUCUUGUUUUCGUAGGCCUCGUGCCUGUGCUUGAUUUGUGGCUC